AAGUUGAGAAUUUGUUUUCAAUAUCCAUGGGUUGAGGUUUUGUUUGACUUGGACUGGUGACAGUCAGAUUUUUGGGAAUGAAAGUGACGGGACCAUGUGAAUUUUUUGAUUGUGAAAAUGGUUUCAAAUUACAUAGCCAAAAGAAGAAGAGGAGUUCUGCAUUCUGAAACAAUGAAAAUGACUUAUCGAUGCUCUUCCGCCCGCAUGCGUUUUUUUUGUUUCUUUUCAACAAACCGGACCGGGCUUGGUUGGGCCCUGUUGGACUGGACAUAUGUUUAUGGCCCAGCAAGCUAAGUGAUGAAUGGGAGGGAAAGAAAAUUCAAAAUCAUGGCCAAAAGAAGCAAAAAAUUUCAAAAUCUUCCACCUAGGAUUUGUGCAGAUUGUAUGUGUGAUUGACAUUUGUCAAAAAUUUCCAUUUAGCUGUGGUCUUUUUGUGUAGUUAAAAU
rnacentral:lncRNA from 1 species